UACGGGGGGGGCAAGCGUUGUUCGGAAUUACUGGGCGUAAAGGGCUCGUAGGCGGCCAACUAAGUCGGAUGUGAAAUCCCCAGGCUCAACUUGGGAACUGCAUCCGAUACUGGAUGGCUUGAAUUCGGGAGAGGGAUGCAGAAUUCCUGGUGUAGCGGUGAAAUGCGUAGAUAUCUGGAGGAACACCGGUGGCGAAGGCGGCAUCCUGGACCAACACUGACGCUGAGGAGCGAAAGCCAGGGGAGCAAACGGG
rnacentral:rRNA from 1 species